AGUCAAUAGAUACCCGGGUAGUCCACGCCGUAAACGAUGUCGACUUGGAGGUUGUGCCCUUGAGGCGUGGCUUCCGGAGCUAAACGCGUUAAGUCGACCGCCUGGGGAGUACGGCCGCAAGGUUAAAACUCAAAUGAAUUGACGGGGGCCCGCACAAGCGGUGGAGCAUGUGGUUUAAUUCGAUGCAACGCGAAGAACCUUACCUACUCUUGACAUCCAGAGAACUUAGCAGAGAUGCUUUGGUGCCUUCGGGAACUCUGAGACAGGUGCUGCAUGGCUGUCGUCAGCUCGUGUUGUGAAAUGUUGGGUUAAGUCCCGCAACGAGCGCAACCCUUAUCCUUUGUUGCCAGCGGUCCGGCCGGGAACUCAAAGGAGACUGCCAGUGAUAAACUGGAGGAAGGUGGGGAUGACGUCAAGUCAUCAUGGCCCUUACGAGUAGGGCUACACACGUGCUACAAUGGCGCAUACAAAGAGAAGCGACCUCGCGAGAGCAAGCGGACCUCAUAAAGUGCGUCGUAGUCCGG
rnacentral:rRNA from 1 species